rnacentral:rRNA from 1 species
GGUUUAAUUCGAUGAUACGCGAGGAACCUUACCAGGGCUCGAACGCACGACGACAGGGGCGGAAACGUCCUCUUCUUCGGACGGCGUGCGAGGUGCUGCAUGGCUGUCGUCAGCUCGUGCCGUGAGGUGUCGGGUUAAGUCCCAUAACGAGCGCAACCCCCAUCUCUAGUUGCCAGCGGGUAAUGCCGGGGACUCUAGAGAAACUGCCCGUGUAAACGGUGAA